UACGUAUGGUGCAAGCGUUAUCCGGAUUUACUGGGCGUAAAGGGAGCGCAGGCGGCGCGCCGAGUCUGAUGUGAAACCCCGGGGCUCAACCCCGGGCAUGCAUUGGAAACUGGCGGGCUGGAGUGCCGGAGAGGUAAGCGGAAUUCCUAGUGUAGCGGUGAAAUGCGUAGAUAUUAGGAGGAACACCAGUGGCGAAGGCGGCUUACUGGACGGCAACUGACGCUGAGGCUCGAAAGCGUGGGGAGCAAACAGG
rnacentral:rRNA from 1 species